UUGCACAAUAAAUUUCACUAUUAAUUUUCAACCCCUACACCAGUACUGAAUGAUUUUAUAACAUAUAAAACACCCCCUGUUAGAACUAGUAACAAGAAUUCGACUUUCUCCCAAAUACAAGCUUAAACCAGCAUUGACCACCUACUGGUAUCUAACGCAAAUGACUUGACUGUAGUAACUACACACAAAACCUACAGAUCUCCCCACGUUACCCUAACACCAGAGUAUUAUAGGAAAGAUUAAAAGAGAGUGAAGGAACUCGGCAAACUACAGCCCCGCCUGUUUACCAAAAACAUCGCCUCCUGCUUACACAUAGGAGGUCCAGCCUGCCCGGUGACAAAGUUUAACGGCCUCGGUACCCUGACCGCGCGAAGGUAGCAUAAUCACUUGUUCUUUAAAUAGGGACCUGUAUCAACGGCAUCACGAGGGCUGAACUGUCUCCUCUCUCCAAUCAGUGAACCUAACCUCUUCGUGAAGAGGCGAAGAUUUAAAUAUAAGACGAGAAGACCCCAUGGAGCUUUAAACCAAAUAACACCCUCUUUAAUAUACACCCUAAGAAAUAAGAAGCCUGUUAGCUAGUUUUCGGCUGGGGCAUCCGGGGAGUAAAACCCAACCUCCCUGACAAACCAUCACAGAGCUACCACUCUAAGAGACAGCAAGCUGUAGUAACAUGACCCGUCUAUCGACCAACGAACCAAGUUACCCUGGGGAUAACAGCGCAAUCCAUUUCGAGAGCCCCUAUCGACAAAUGGGUUUACGACCUCGAUGUUGGAUCAGGGUAUCCCAGUGGUGCAGCCGCUACUAAAGGUU
rnacentral:rRNA from 1 species